rnacentral:lncRNA from 1 species
AGAACUUUAAAAACUAGACCACAUUUUCCAGUCUCCUCUGAAGUCAGAUGAAACCAUAUGACUAAGUUACAGCCAGUGAAAGGUUAUUCCUUGAAAUACAUCUGGAUUGUUUAGGGAUUGAUGGAAACCUAUACCCAACUUCAUUCCCUCAUCCUUCUCCUGAGGGAACAGGUUGCUGCAGUCAAUGGACAAUAGCCUCGUGCUUCAAGGAAAUCUUGAGGAGAGAUGUUUCACCUGCAGGCAGCAAACAUGACUACAGACAGAUACUCUUAUUUACCACAAAGUAGUGGAUUCUGGAAGAACUUGGCUCAGAAAUGUAUCUGUACCCCAGAGGAGAGAUCAAGAGUAGUCUUGUAAAUGUGUGGUUCUUCCUCUAAGAGGCAGAGGGAGCUGAAUAGGCAGGCUGUGGCUUUCCCACGCCUGAGCUAGGAGCCAUACAUGGAGACUAGGGAGCAAGAGGCUUCCUCCAGGAGCAUCGUUAGGGGACUUGCAGCCUGUUUGCUUCUUUACCACUGACCAGGUAGGUAGAAACUAUGUCAUCUUUCCCUGCUUACUGAACUCCUGCUCUUAGGGCACUGGAUCUGAGUCCAAAGCAACCGACAAAUAAAAAAGGGGAACCUACUUAAGAGGAAGAUCCGUCAGAACAAGAGGAUCCGUCAGAAGAUCCUUGUGUGCAGGAAAACAGAGCUGCCGGAUGAUAGACAACAACUGAAUGAAGGAGGAGGGGUUGGGGAGGAGAGUGGGGAAGAGAAAGAAGGAGAAGACGAAGGAUGAGCAAGCUUCUAGUGCUCAAGGAAAGCAGUCUCUGAUGCUCACUUCAGAUGGGAUCAAAGAGAAAAUAGGGAAGAGAGCAUUGCAGAGGGAGGAACAAGGGCAGAUAGAGAUUGUUGCUGUGACAUAAUCUAGUACAUACUAACUCGCAUGUUAAACUGAAUUACAACAGUCUGCCCUUGCUGGAAUAGGUGUAGUUGAAAACAGCUGAAAAAUGAGAACUUCACAUGAAAAAAUGACUCUCAAUGUCUGGAAAUUUUUAAAGUCAUAAGUAUGUUGCUAAAUUCUCAGUGAAACCUUAGAAGAAUCAAGAAAAAGCUUGUGUGAGGAUCACAGUUUGUCCUGGGGUCAGAAUGGAAAGCAAAUUCUUAAAUAUCUCUUUGAGACCCUACUUGAAAUGAAUGUACUCAUUCACACAGCCUCAUCUUCUUGUUUGAGGAGCAUCACAGACAGUUUUCUGCAUGCCUUCUGAGUUCCUGCUUAUCCUUUUGGGCCCUUCCUUUUUUUUGGAUGAUGUUUUUCUGAUUAAGAGUUAGGACAAAAGGAAAUCUAUGACAUCCACCCCUUUAUGUCUUUCCAAACUAUCUCUUCCCCCAUGAAAUUUAGCAUAAGCUAUGGAUACAGAAAUAAAGAAACUGUCAUAACACAUAAUGUUGGGAAGAUAAGUGCAUUGUAUCACAGCCACUGGGGUUUAUAUUUUAUUAUUUACUGGAAAAGGGAAAACUCAUGAUAGACAGAUUCUUUUCUCAGGCAAAAGGAAGAUGUGAUGUGUGAGCAUGUUAUAGAGGAGAAUUUUAGGAUGUUCUAAAGUUUUCCUUGCAUUUAUUAAGGGCCUUGACCCACCUGAGCUGAAUAGUUUGCCUCUGAAGGAGCAUCUGUUCUAUAAAUUUUUGUUCUCUCACUCCUCCAGUCAUAGAACCAGAAUACACUGUGGCGUCACCUGGUCAAGGUUAUUUUUCCUUAGCAGUACAUAAGGGGUCCUUUAACUUGGUACUCUACAAGGAAAAUCUUAUUUAAAUAAGGAACUAAACCACCUCUACCGGUGAACUACAGAUAGUUUUCUAACAGUGUGCUAAGAGCCAGCCUAUAGAUGCUAAUAGUUAGCAUAAAUAUUUAUAAAGCAUACAAAAAUAUAUUUUUUAAUUUUAUAUAUAAAUAAAAACCAGGCAAUUAAAGAUAAGAUUUAGGUAUAGCUAUUGAUUGCUCUGAUAUUAGUUCUUCAUCUCCCCACAUCUGUGGAGUACUGAAGAACUUAGCCCAUGAGUUCAUUUUUUUAAUUGAGAUAUAAUGGACAUACAACAUUGUAUUAGCUUUAGGUGUACAACAUAGUGAUAUGAUAUUUAUAUAUAUUAUGAAAUGAUCACGACAAUAAGUCAAGUUAACAUCCAUCACUACACACCCUUAUAAUUUUUCUUCUGAUGUGGAUUUAAGUUCUACUCUCCUAGCAACUUUCAGGUAUACAAUACAGUAUUAAUUACUAGAGUCACCACUCUGUAUGCUACAUUUCCAUGACUUAUUUAUUUUAUAACUGGAAGUUUAUACCUUUUUACUUCAGGGAGCCCAUACAUUUAGAUGGUGAAAAAAAUUACAUCUUCACUUUCAUUAAUCUCUAGUAAAAUUUAGCAUGUCCUUCAAUUAUGUUUGUAGGCAACAAGCUACCACAGUAUUAGGAUAUCUGUGCCUUGUUACUGACAUGUUGAAAAUCACAUAUUUCCAUAUCACAUUAUAGAUGCUACAAAUAUCUCAAAAUACUGUUUACUCUCAUUACUGUUUUAAAACCACGUUAGUAAUUAGAUCCAUCACUAACUCUUGUUACCUUCUACACUAGUAAGAAGCACAUAUAUUACUAUUUUAUAAAAUUUUAAUUUUGGUAACUGUGUUCCUAAAUAAUUGAUUUCGGUUGAAAAUCUCAUGUAUUUUUUUUUUUUUUUUGGUCUUUUUGCAAUUUCUUGGGCCGCUCCCGCGGCAUAUGGGAGGUUCCCAGGCUAGGGGUCAAAUCGGAGCUGUAACCACCAGCCUAUGCCAGAGCCACAGCAAUGCGGGAUCCGAGCCGCGUCUGCGACCUACACCACAGCUCACGGCAACGCCGGAUCCUUAACCCACUGAGCAAGGGCAGGGAUCGAACCCGCACCCUCAUGGUUCCUAGUCGGAUUCGUUAACCACUGCGCCACGACGGGAACUCCCAAAAAUCUCAUGUAUUUUUGACGCAAUUUAAAAUAUUCUUAGAAGGGGCCCACAGGCUUCACCAGAACGCAAGAUGUGUCCAUUGCACAAAAAAUUUCAGAACCCUGCCAAAAGUGGUGAUGAUUAUCAAAUCAUAUUACUGUCUGUAUUUGGCAAAGUGGGCUGUUUUAUCUCCAACACACUUUGUUCUUUCUGCAUCCCAAACAUUUAAUCAACAAACAUUUAUUGACUAUCUCUGUAUGCCUGGCACACUUCUAGAUGCUGGAUAUUCAGAAGUAACAUAAACAAGGUCCUUGCCUUCAAGGAGCAUAAGUUGAGUGGGAAGACACAGGAAAUAGAUCAGUAAAUAAACCCAACAAUUUCAAAUUGAGAAAAGUUCUGUAAAGGAAAUAAAUGGUAUUAAGUAAACAGAGCAGAGUGAGGGGAUCAGGAAGCUCUCUCUGAAAAGCUGUCAUCUGAAGGAUGAGCAUGUACCAAACAUGGGAAGAGGUGGGGGGAAUGUAUUCCAAGCAGAAGGAAAACCAAAUGCAAGCACAUCAAGGCUAUGAAAGUCCUAUGCUGGUUCAUGACAGACGGCCUGUGUCUUGGUCACAAUGCUGAUAAGUCCAGAAAGUUGUUUCUCCCUUGGUCUGCAAAUGCUGAACUCAUUAUGCCUCAGUAUUCAGAGUCUGUCAACUGCCUGUUGCUCUUACUCCUUUUCCCUUGCUCACACACAUCCAAGUAAGGCAGGAACCAUGGGAUUUGUAGCUCAUUGUGCAUCUCCCACAAAUGCCCCUGAAAGGCUGAAGUGGGAAGGAUGAUCAUCUUCCAGCUUAAGUUCUACCAGAAGCUCCCCAAUCCAGCUCCUGUUAUUUUUCUCACUACAAAUAUCCCGGCUCAAGACAGGAAAAGCAGGAGUGUAAAGAAGCACAUGGCUACACUUCCAGGGUAACACCCCACUGCACCCUAUUGGUAAUAACCUCUGGAAACACUUUAGGUCUUCCACUACAAUAGAAUGUCACAGUCUUUAGCUGUGACUAAAGAGAAGAUAUAUCUUCUCUCACUGAAGCAUGUAUGUGAUACAAAAAGACACAUGGUUGUGUCUAACACAGAAAACUAAUAAGUGUUAAUUAGGGAAUUAUUUCAUUUUUAAUGCUACUUUAAAAUUUUCCUAGUAAUGUAUUUUUCCUUUAUAGCUACCAUUAAAGACUAUACUAUGUGUAGUAGU